CCUACGGGAGGCAGCAGUGGGGGAUAUUGCACAAUGGGGGGAACCCUGAUGCAGCGACGCCGCGUGGGUGAAGAAGCGCCUCGGCGCGUAAAGCUCUGUCCGCAGGGAAGAAAAUGACGGUACCUGAAGAAGAAGCCCCGGCUAACUACGUGCCAGCAGCCGCGGUAAUACGUAGGGAGCGAGCGUUGUCCGGAAUUACUGGGUGUAAAGGGAGCGUAGGCGGGGAUGCAAGUUGGGUGUCAAAGCUACCGGCUCAACUAGUAGUCGCACUCAAAACUGCAGCUCUUGAGUGAAGUAGAGGCAGGCGGAAUUCCUGGUGUAGCGGUGAAAUGCGUAGAUAUCAGGAGGAACACCAGUGGCGAAGGCGGCCUGCUGGACUGCAACUGACGUUGAGGCCCGAAAGCGUGGGGAGCAAACAGGAUUAGAUACCCCAGUAGUC
rnacentral:rRNA from 1 species